CCCAGACUCCUACGGGAGGCAGCAGUGGGGGAUAUUGCACAAUGGGGGGAACCCUGAUGCAGCGACGCCGCGUGGGUGAAGGAGCGUUUCGGCGCGUAAAGCCCUCUCGGCAGGGAAGAAGGAGGACGGUACCUGACUAAGAAGCCCCGGCUAACUACGUGCCAGCAGCCGCGGUAAUACGUAGGGGGCAAGCGUUAUCCGGAUUGACUGGGUGUAAAGGGGGCGCAGACGGCAGCGCAAGCCAGGAGUGAAAGCCCGGGGCCCAACCCCGGGACUGCUCUUGGAACUGCGCGGCUGGAGUGCAGGAGGGGCAGGCGGAAUUCCUGGUGUAGCGGUGAAAUGCGUAGAUAUCAGGAGGAACACCGGUGGCGAAGGCGGCCUGCUGGACUGCGACUGACGUUGAGGCCCGAAAGCGUGGGGAGCAAACAGGAUUAGAUACCCCCGUAAG
rnacentral:rRNA from 1 species